AUGCUGUCUGAAUGGAGAGAAGGUUAGCACUCAUCCUGAUAAAGAUGGAAGAGGUCCUUGUGGCCUUUGCAACACACAUAUGGUUAAGGCAUUGCCACUUACUUCAUGGCAUAUUAUCACCGUUUUGA